rnacentral:lncRNA from 1 species
GCCUCUCCAACCGUAGCCUUGGCCGGCUAGACCCCCUCCGCGUCGUCCCACGCCGCUCCCCUCCCCCACUGUCGCGAAGCUCCCGCCCGAGCGGACCACGUGCCGGGAACCGGGCGGGGAGAGACCACUCUUGAACCCCUUCCGGCUUCCUCGAACACCCCAGGCUGCAGCCCAUGCUCCCUAUGCUGGGUCCUCAGGUGAACUGCACCUUGUAACAGCCUGCUCAGCCUCCCACCUGAUCCUGAUUGGGCCAUGAUCCUGGGAAGGCUGAAUCACCGCCUCCCUCCGUCCCUCCCAGGGUUGGGGUUUCCAUGGGAGAGCUCCUCAUAGGCUACCCGAAGAAGCAGUUACACAGACGGUGGCACCGUGGCUUCCAGCAGUUCACACCGUGAAAUUAUCCAGACCUAUGAAAGCACAUCGAAUCCUCCAGAAAGAAAAAAAAAUCUAAAUGAGGUAAAGAGGGAGAAGUCUUUAGUUAGCAGGAAUCUUUGCCAUGGAAGGGUUAAUGAUCUGAGAAGAA